rnacentral:lncRNA from 1 species
UGUUCCAACGUCAGCAAGAAUUUCUUGAGUCAUAUUUGGCUCAGCUUAAAGGUUACAUCUUUCAGCUUAUUUUUGACAUCUGCCGAAUAAUCUGGAAAGAAGUAACCUUUUCAGCUAGACUAAACAUGCUAUGAGGAUUGAGGAAAUCUUUUUACUUCAAAUAUUUAAGAAAAAUGUAAAAUUAACAUGUUUGAAAAUAAAAGUUUACUUAUAUAUCUUGUCUGUACUUGUUGAGCAGUCAAAAUACCUAAAGUCCCAAUUGAGUUUGUUCUAAAGGUUAGUGGUUCAAAUAAGUAUGGAGGCC